CGUAGGAGACAAACGUUAUCCGGAGUUACUGGGCGUAAAGGGCGUGUAGGUGGUUACGUAAGUCUGGCGUGAAAUUUUUCGGCUUAACCGGGAAAGGUCGUCGGAUACUGCGGGACUAGAGGACGGUAGAGGCGUGUGGAAUUCCGGGUGUAGUGGUGAAAUGCGUAGAGAUCCGGAGGAACACCAGUGGCGAAGGCGACACGCUGGGCCGUACCUGACACUGAUGCGCGACAGCAUGGGGAGCAAACAGGAUUAGAAACCCUGGUAGUCCAUGCCGUAAACGAUGCUAGCUGGGUGUUCAGGAAGGGGAACCUUUCGGGGUACCGAAGUCAACACGGUAAGCUAGCCGCCUGGGGAGUACGGUCGCAAGAUUA
rnacentral:rRNA from 1 species